rnacentral:lncRNA from 1 species
AGGAAACCAUGUACUGUAAUAUUCUUUCAAAAGAAUAGAAGAAGGAAUGCAUCAUGGUUAUUAUAAAUUUAAAAGUCAAAUAGGAAAUACAUUGCAUUAGGAUAUUCCUAACAUAUAUAAAAAAGGCCAUAGAUAAGAAAUAUUGAAAAAAUGUCUUAAUUUCGUAAAUCUAAAGGAGAAGAAAAUAAUGCUGUCAGAAAAUUAAAUUCUACUGAUCAUCAAAGUCUUUCACUUGCUUUUUAAGAUUUAACUGCACUUGUGCUAUAUAAUUUCUAAUAAGGAUCAUUCAUUAUUUAAUGGGUUUUUUGUGCAAUUUCUUAAAUGAAAAAGAGAUUAAAGGAAUAUUCUAGUAGCACAAAAUUUGGGUAGAAAAGAAGAAAACUGUAGUAUCAUGAAGAAACAUAUCACACUAUUAUGCCACAUUGUGGUGGCAUUACAUAAUAUAAAAUGUAUUUGUUGUUUCGUUUAACGAUUGCUAGAUAAAUCUUUUUUUAAAUAAUAUGCUUAUAUAUUUGAUACCGGGUGUGAUUUCAUAAGUGAAGAUACGAAAUGAAUUAUUUACU